rnacentral:tRNA from 1 species
AGUAAAGUAAGCUAAAGAAAGCUUUCGGGCCCAUACCCCGAAUAUGUUGGUUAAAGUCCUUCCUUUACUG